UACGUAGGUGGCAAGCGAUACUCGGAAUCACUAGGCGUAAAGAGCGUGUAGGCGGCUCGGUAAGUCCGCUGUGAAAGUCCAGGGCUCAACCCUGGAAUGCCAGUGGAAACUGUCGAGCUAGAGUCCGGAAGAGGCGAGUGGAAUUCCUGGUGUAGCGGUGAAAUGCGCAGAUAUCAGGAGGAACACCAAUGGCGAAGGCAGCUCGCUGGGACGGUACUGACGCUGAGACGCGAAAGCGUGGGGAGCAAACAGG
rnacentral:rRNA from 1 species